GCCUUCAUGGUGCAACGGUUAGCACACUCGGCUCCUAUUCGAGAGGUCCAGGUUCGAGUCCCGGCGAGGGCA
rnacentral:tRNA from 1 species